AAACAUGGGGUAAUACCGAAUACGUUCCUGAUACUGUGGUAACGGGAAGAAAAGCGCUUCGGCGCUGCUUGAGGAUGAGCCUGCGGCUGAUUAGUUAGUUGGUGGGGUAACGGCCUACCAAGGCGACGAUCAGUAGCCGGCCUGAGAGGGUGAGCGGCCACACUGGGACUGAGAUACGGCCCAGACUCCUACGGGAGGCAGCAGCUAAGAAUCUUCUACAAUGGACGAAAGUCUGAUAGAGCGACGCCGCGUGGGUGAUGAAGGCCGGAAGGUUGUAAAGCCCUUUUCUAUUCGAGGAAUAACCUCAGGAGGCAAUGCCUGAGGGAUGACGGUAGGGUAGGAAUAAGCCCCGGCCAAUUACGUGCCAGCAGCCGCGGUAACACGUAUGGGGCGAGCGUUGUUCGGAAUCAUUGGGCGUAAAGGGCGCGUAGGCGGAUAUGCAAGCUUGGUGUGAAAGACCGCAGCUCAACUGCGGGAGCGCGCUGAGAAACUGCGUAUCUAGAGUUCAAGAGGGGAAGCUUGGAAUUCCAGGUGUAGGGGUUGAAUCUGUAGAGAUCUGGAAGAACAUCAGUGGCGAAGGCGAGCUUCUGGCUUUGAACUGACGCUGAGGCGCGAAAGCGUUGGGGAGCGAACAGGAUUAGAUACCCCUUGGUUAGUCCACGCUGUAAACCGAUGUGCACUAAGGUGUUGGGCCCGUUGAAGGCCUCAGUGCCGUACCCAACGCGUUAAAGUGCACCGCCUGGGGAGUAUGCUCGGCAAGAGUGAUACUCAAAGGAAUUGACGGGGGCCCGCACAAGCGGUGUAGCAUGUGGUUUAAUUCGAUGAUACGCGAGAAACCUUACCAGGGCUUGACAUAUGCAGGAAUGCGCAUGAGAGUGCGCAGCCCUUCGGGGCCUGCAUACAGGUGCUGCAUGGCUGUCGUCAGCUCGUGCCGUGAGUGUUUGGGUUAAGUCCCGGCAACGAGCGCAACACCUGUUGUCUGUUGCCAGCAUUUCGGAUGGGGACUCAGGCA
rnacentral:rRNA from 1 species